rnacentral:rRNA from 1 species
UACGAAGGGGGCGAGCGUUGUUCGGAAUUACUGGGCGUAAAGGGCGCGCAGGCGGCUCUGAAAGUCAGAUGUGAAAGCCCCGGGCUUAACCUGGGAAUUGCAUUUGAUACUCUGGAGUUUGAGUGUGGGAGAGGAGAGUGGAAUUCCCAGUGUAGAGGUGAAAUUCGUAGAUAUUGGGAAGAACACCGGUGGCGAAGGCGGCUCUCUGGACCACAACUGACGCUGAGGCGCGAAAGCGUGGGGAGCAAACAGG